CGCUCCCCGGAGGCCGCCUGUCGCAGCUCGACGCCAUCCCGGCCCGUCCGCCUCCGGUGCAGAGGUCUUCGGGAGCUGGUGCCCCAGUAGAGAAACCGGGAAGCUGGGUGGACCAGCCCGGCUCUGAUCUCACACUGGAGGCCAACUCCCCUCACCCCAACUCCGCCCUGGCACCCUUAGUCAUCCUGACGUCCCGGCCAAUGGCUUUUGGGACUCAAACGUGAGCACCCAGUGCUGAGGAGCAGAGAGGGACUCCAGAGGAAGAGCUCCUGCAUUUACUUGGAUACUAGCUAAGCAAAUUCAUGAGCCUUGUGACUUUGGGCAAGUUACCUAACGAAGCUGUGUCUCAGCUACCACAUCUGUGAAACGUGGACGGUAAUGCAGCAAAUCUAACCUUAGAGCUGUUUUUGGCAGUGGAAAUGCAAAAUCCUCUUGGGACUAACAUUCUCCUAUUUGUAAAGAGGAUAUUCUAGCCUUGAUGUCUUUCACAAUGGUGCCAGAGAGGCGUCUGGGUGACU